AGUGAACGCUGGCGGUAGGCCUAACACAUGCAAGUCGAACGGCAGCACAGUAAGAGCUUGCUCUUACGCGCGGCGAGUGGCGGACGGGUGAGGAAUACAUCGGAAUCCACUUUUUCGGGGGGGAUAACGAAGGGAAACUUACGCUAAUACCCCAUACGACCUACGGGUUAAAGCAGGGGAUCUUCGGACCUUGCGCGAUUGAAUGAGCCGAUGUCGGUUUUGCUAGUUGGCGGGGUAAAGGCCCACCAAGGCGACGAACCGUAGCUGGUGUGAGAGGAUGAUCAGCCACACUGGAACUGAGACACGGACCAGGCUCCUACGAGAGGGAGCAGUGGGGAAUAUUGGACAGUGGGCGCAAGCAUGAUCCAGCCAUACCGCGUGGGUGAAGAAGGCGUUCGGGUUGUAAAGCCCUUUUGUUGGGAAAGAAAAGCAGCAGGUUAAUACCCAGCUGUUCUGACGGUACCCAAAGAAUAAGCACCGGCUAACUUCGUG
rnacentral:rRNA from 1 species